rnacentral:rRNA from 1 species
GACAAACGCUGGCGGCGUGCUUAACACAUGCAAGUCGAACGGAAAGGCCCUGCUUUUGUGGGGUUCUCGAGUGGCGAACGGGUGAGUAACACGUGAGUAACCUGCCCUUGACUUUGGGAUAACUUCAGGAAACUGGGGCUAAUACCGGAUAGGAGCUCCUGCUGCAUGGUGGGGGUUGGAAAGUUUCGGCGGUUGGGGAUGGACUCGCGGCUUAUCAGCUUGUUGGUGGGGUAGUGGCUUACCAAGGCUUUGACGGGUAGCCGGCCUGAGAGGGUGACCGGCCACAUUGGGACUGAGAUACGGCCCAGACUCCUACGGGAGGCAGCAGGGGGGAGUAUUGCACAAUGGGCGGAAGCCUGAUGCAGCAGCGCCGCGUGCGGGAUGACGGCCUUCGGGUUGUAAACCGCUUUCGCCUGUGACGAAGCGUGAGUGACGGUAAUGGGUAAAGAAGCACCGGCUAACUACGUG